rnacentral:antisense_RNA from 1 species
UGUGGGAGCUGGCUUGCCUGCGAUAGCGUUGGUUCAGGCAACACUUAUGUCGCCUGUGCCGCCAUCAUCGCAGGCAAGCCAGCUCCCACA